UAUGGUAUGCAUUGAAUCUAUGUUCGUCGUUCUAUAUACUGUAAAUUUAAAGUUAUUCAAAAUAGCCAUGCCUUUGUGCUGACUGAUAUCGUUUAAUAAAGUUGAAGAGAGUUCGUAUUACACGCACCACCUAUAAACGGAACUCUGACAGGCAAACAGCAUUUCUCCGUAGUGAAAAAAGUACGGCCCCAUUACUGCAUUAGUCGUGCGUAGA